UACAAAAGUAUAUAAGCCCAGGGCUUAUAGUCGGAGGUUUACGGUAUAUACUGGUACAUUUUUUUUCCAAGUUGCACCCUAAAAUUAUUAUACUUUAUACUAACUGCUAGUUUAUUUGAAUUUUAGGCUACUAUAAAAACAAUAUUUCAAAAUUUAACCAAACUUAAGGUGGGUAAUGCAUUAUUCUUAAGAAAUGCCUUGAGAGGCUACAUUGUUUUUUUAUACAAAAUCAUAAAGACGUCCUGAGAAACAUCUUUGUUUGUUUUUCACAGCAUCCAAACAUCGUAAAAUUUCACAGGUUUUGGAAUGACAUGCAAGGUGACAAGGCACGACUUGUCUUCAUUUCGGAAUAUAUGACCUCUGGAUCGUUGAAAAAAUUCCUCAAGAAGACACGGACAAACAACAAGACAAUCAGUGCUAAGGUACGAGAAUCUACGUUCUGUUUAUCAAAUUAAGUUUUGGUUUCCAAGGUGGCUGGUUCAUCCACCUUGUACAUGCCGA